GGUGUGCACCAUGAUCAUUAUCUCACAUACCACCUUGACCUUGACAUUGAUGGGGAAGCCAACUCAUUUAUGAAGACCAAUUUGGAGAGCGUGAGAGUAACGGAUGACAAUUCACCAAGGAAAAGUUACUGGACUGUGGUGCGUGAAACUGCUAAGACAGAGGGUGAUGCUCGAAUCAAACUUGGUUUGAAGGCAUCUGAACUAGCAAUUGUAAAUCCCAAUAAGAAAACAAAGGCUGGAAACAAGAUGGGGUACCGUUUGUUCCCAGGCACAGUGGCUCACCCACUUUUGCUGAGUGAUGACUAUCC
rnacentral:lncRNA from 1 species